CUUCUAGUGCCUACUGGUAUUUCCAUCAACCCAUCUCUCUGCUUCAAGAUUAAUGAUUUGCCAUCCUUUCUGCUUCAAGAUCCACCUUUGUCGACACCAAAAUCAUGAAGUAUAGUGCCACAAUCAGAUAACAAAACCGAAAAUUCAAGGCAAUUACACCAUGCCAGUUGAUUCCCAUGUGUUGCAGUUAGUUUGCUUCUCCCUCCGAUAGUCUCAGUCUGCACCUGCAAUUUCUAUCUUGGAUAUUCUAAGCCAUCUGGUAGCCAUAUGCAGUUCAAUUCAUCGUCCAGGUUCACAUAUGGUGGGAUUCUCAUGGUUCCAGUUUUGGGUAUGCACGUCAGGUGGGGUAUAACAAUAUAAAACAAUAGCAUGAGCAUGAUGUAUCGUUAUCAAAUCACAGACAACACAAGUUGGCUCAAAGAUCUGCAGUCUGGUCCAUUCUGGGUGAACAAACAAUCGGGUCAAGGGAUAACCUGAAAUGCAUUCAAAGAAAGGGCAAUAGUUUUAUGGGGGCUAAAAAUAGCAGAACCCAUUGCAGUAGCAGCAGGAGCAAAGAUGGCAUUCCUUCCAUCUCCAAGUGCAUAACCAGUUCAAGAUCGAUAGCCAGAGCCAGGAAGUCAAGCUAGUUACCUACAUCGCUAGUUGUUUACAUAAGAGUGACUUUGAUGAGAGAAGAGACCGAGAAGCAGGGUGUGAAAGCACGCAAAUCAAAUCCGCAUGUUCAUUGUUUUCCAUAUUCAUAAGAAACCCUCAAAUCUACUCUUCUAAAUUAGAAGAAAUUUUUUUUUGCAAUCUCUACAACACAUAAAAACAAACAUACAACUAAUGGAUUGACAAUUUCAACAUUGAAUUAUAUGACAUUGUUUUCAAGAUGAGCAAUCUAAUCUUCAACAUCCAAA